GUCCAGGGGCGGGAAUCGAACCCACAACGUUCCGCUUACUGGGCAGAUGCCAUGUCCACUAGGCUACCCUGGA